UCGUCGACAACAGAGUUUGAUCCUGGCUCAGGACGAACGCUGGCGGCGUGCCUAAUACAUGCAAGUAGAACGCUGAAGGAGGAGCUUGCUUCUCUGGAUGAGUUGUGAACGGGUGAGUAACGCGUAGGUAACCUGCCUGGUAGCGGGGGAUAACUAUUGGAAACGAUAGCUAAUACCGCAUAACAGUAGAUGUUGCAUGACAUUUGCUUAAAAGGUGCAAUUGCAUCACUACCAGAUGGACCUGCGUUGUAUUAGCUAGUUGGUGGGGUAACGGCUCACCAAGGCGACGAUACAUAGCCGACCUGAGAGGGUGAUCGGCCACACUGGGACUGAGACACGGCCCAGACUCCUACGGGAGGCAACAGUAGGGAAUCUUCGGCAAUGGACGGAAGUCUGACCGAGCAACGCCGCGUGAGUGAAGAAGGUUUUCGGAUCGUAAAGCUCUGUUGUAAGAGA
rnacentral:rRNA from 1 species